GAUGAACGCUGGCGGCGUGCCUAACACAUGCAAGUCGAGCGAAGCGCUUAUAUUAGAUUUCUUCGGAAUGACGAUUUUUGUGACUGAGCGGCGGACGGGUGAGUAACGCGUGGGUAACCUGCCUUAUACAGGGGGAUAACAGUUAGAAAUGACUGCUAAUACCGCAUAAGACCCCAGCUUCGCAUGAAGCUGUGGUAAAAACUCCGGUGGGAUGAGAUGGACCUGCGUCUGAUUAGCUAGUUGGUAAGGUAACGGCUUACCAAGGCGACGAUCAGUAGCCGAGCUGAGAGGGUGACCGGCCACAUUGGGACUGAGACACGGCCCAGAAUCCUACGGGAGGGAGCAGUGGGGAAUAUUGCACAAUGGCGGAAACCCUGAUGCAGCGACGCCGCGUGAAGGAUGAAGUAGUUCGGUAUGUAAACUUCUAUCAGAAGGGAAGAAAGUGACGGUACCUGACUAAGAAGCCCCGGCUGACUACGUG
rnacentral:rRNA from 1 species